rnacentral:rRNA from 1 species
GAUGAACGCUGGCGGCGUGCCUAAUACAUGCAAGUCGAGCGAACGGACGAGAAGCUUGCUUCUCUGAUGUUAGCGGCGGACGUGUGAGUAACACGUGGAUAACCUACCUAUAAGACUGGGAUAACUUCGGGAAACCGGAGCUAAUACCGGAUAAUAUUUUGAACCGCAUGGUUCAAAAGUGAAGGACGGUCUUGCUGUCACUUAUAGAUGGAUCCGCGCUGCAUUAGCUAGUUGGUAAGGUAACGGCUUACCAAGGCAACGAUGCAUAGCCGACCUGCGAGGGUGAUCGGCCACACUGGCACUGAGACACGGUCCAGACUCCUACGGGAGGCAGCAGUAGGGAAUCUUCCGCAAAGGGCGAAAGCGUGACGGAGCAACGCCGCGUGAGUGAUGGAGGUCUUCGGAUCGUAAAACUCUGUUAUUAGGGAAGAACAUAUGUGUAAGUAACUGUGCACAUCUUGACGGUACCUAAUCAGAAAGCCCCGGCUAACUACGUG